rnacentral:rRNA from 1 species
GGUUAAGCGACUAAGCGUACACGGUGGAUGCCCUGGCAGUCAGAGGCGAUGAAGGACGUGCUAAUCUGCGAAAAGCGUCGGUAAGGUGAUAUGAACCGUUACAGCCGGCGAUGUCCGAAUGGGGAAACCCAGUGCAAUUCGUUGCACUAUCGUUAACUGAAUACAUAGGUUAACGAGGCGAACCGGGGGAACUGAAACAUCUAAGUACCCCGAGGAAAAGAAAUCAACCGAGAUUCCCCCAGUAGCGGCGAGCGAACGGGGAGCAGCCCAGAGUCUGAAUCAGCUUGUGUGUUAGUGGAACGGUCUGGAAAGUCCGACGGUACAGGGUGAUAGUCCCGUACACCAAAAUGCACAGGUUGUGAACUCGAAGAGUAGGGCGGGACACGUGGUAUCCUGUCUGAAUAUGGGGGGACCAUCCUCCAAGGCUAAAUACUCCUGACUGACCGAUAGUGAACCAGUACCGUGAGGGAAAGGCGAAAAGAACCCCGGCGAGGGGAGUGAAAAAGAACCUGAAACCGUGUACGUACAAGCAGUGGGAGCACCUUCGGGUGUGACUGCGUACCUUUUGUAUAAUGGGUCAGCGACUUAUAUUCUGUAGCAAGGUUAACCGUAUAGGGGAGCCGCAGGGAAACCGAGUCUUAACUGGGCGUUAAGUUGCAGGGUAUAGACCCGAAACCCGGUGAUCUAGCCAUGGGCAGGUUGAAGGUUGGGUAACACUAACUGGAGGACCGAACCGACUAAUGUUGAAAAAUUAGCGGAUGACUUGUGGCUGGGGGUGAAAGGCCAAUCAAACCGGGAGAUAGCUGGUUCUCCCCGAAAGCUAUUUAGGUAGCGCCUCGUGAACUCAUCUUCGGGGGUAGAGCACUGUUUCGGCUAGGGGGUCAUCCCGACUUACCAACCCGAUGCAAACUACGAAUACCGAAGAAUGUUAUCACGGGAGACACACGGCGGGUGCUAACGUCCGUCGUGAAGAGGGAAACAACCCAGACCGCCAGCUAAGGUCCCAAAGUCAUGGUUAAGUGGGAAACGAUGUGGGAAGGCACAGACAGCCAGGAUGUUGGCUUAGAAGCAGCCAUCAUUUAAAGAAAGCGUAAUAGCUCACUGGUCGAGUCGGCCUGCGCGGAAGAUGUAACGGGGCUAAACCAUGCACCGAAGCUGCGGCAGCGACACUAUGUGUUGUUGGGUAGGGGAGCGUUCUGUAAGCCUGCGAAGGUGUGCUGUGAGGCAUGCUGGAGGUAUCAGAAGUGCGAAUGCUGACAUAAGUAACGAUAAAGCGGGUGAAAAGCCCGCUCGCCGGAAGACCAAGGGUUCCUGUCCAACGUUAAUCGGGGCAGGGUGAGUCGACCCCUAAGGCGAGGCCGAAAGGCGUAGUCGAUGGGAAACAGGUUAAUAUUCCUGUACUUGGUGUUACUGCGAAGGGGGGACGGAGAAGGCUAUGUUAGCCGGGCGACGGUUGUCCCGGUUUAAGCAUGUAGGCUGAUUGUCCAGGCAAAUCCGGAUAAUCAAGGCUGAGGUGUGAUGACGAGGCACUACGGUGCUGAAGUAACAAAUGCCCUGCUUCCAGGAAAAGCCUCUAAGCAUCAGGUAACAUUAAAUCGUACCCCAAACCGACACAGGUGGUCAGGUAGAGAAUACCAAGGCGCUUGAGAGAACUCGGGUGAAGGAACUAGGCAAAAUGGUGCCGUAACUUCGGGAGAAGGCACGCUGGUGUGUAGGUGAAGUCCCUGCGGAUGGAGCUGAGACCAGUCGAAGAUACCAGCUGGCUGCAACUGUUUAUUAAAAACACAGCACUGUGCAAACACGAAAGUGGACGUAUACGGUGUGACGCCUGCCCGGUGCCGGAAGGUUAAUUGAUGGGGUUAUCCGUAAGGAGAAGCUCUUGAUCGAAGCCCCGGUAAACGGCGGCCGUAACUAUAACGGUCCUAAGGUAGCGAAAUUCCUUGUCGGGUAAGUUCCGACCUGCACGAAUGGCGUAAUGAUGGCCAGGCUGUCUCCACCCGAGACUCAGUGAAAUUGAACUCGCUGUGAAGAUGCAGUGUACCCGCGGCAAGACGGAAAGACCCCGUGAACCUUUACUAUAGCUUGACACUGAACAUUGAGCCUUGAUGUGUAGGAUAGGUGGGAGGCUUUGAAGCGUGGACGCCAGUCUGCGUGGAGCCAACCUUGAAAUACCACCCUUUAAUGUUUGAUGUUCUAACGUUGGCCCCUGACCGGGGUUGCGGACAGUGUCUGGUGGGUAGUUUGACUGGGGCGGUCUCCUCCCAAAGCGUAACGGAGGAGCACGAAGGUUAGCUAAUCCUGGUCGGACAUCAGGAGGUUAGUGCAAUGGCAUAAGCUAGCUUGACUGCGAGCGUGACGGCGCGAGCAGGUGCGAAAGCAGGUCAUAGUGAUCCGGUGGUUCUGAAUGGAAGGGCCAUCGCUCAACGGAUAAAAGGUACUCCGGGGAUAACAGGCUGAUACCGCCCAAGAGUUCAUAUCGACGGCGGUGUUUGGCACCUCGAUGUCGGCUCAUCACAUCCUGGGGCUGAAGUAGGUCCCAAGGGUAUGGCUGUUCGCCAUUUAAAGUGGUACGCGAGCUGGGUUUAGAACGUCGUGAGACAGUUCGGUCCCUAUCUGCCGUGGGCGCUGGAGAAUUGAGGGGGGCUGCUCCUAGUACGAGAGGACCGGAGUGGACGCAUCACUGGUGUUCGGGUUGUCAUGCCAAUGGCACUGCCCGGUAGCUAAAUGCGGAAGAGAUAAGUGCUGAAAGCAUCUAAGCACGAAACUUGCCCCGAGAUGAGUUCUCCCUGAGACUUUAAGUCUCCUGAAGGAACGUUGAAGACGACGACGUUGAUAGGCCGGGUGUGUAAGCGCAGCGAUGCGUUGAGCUAACCGGUACUAAUGAACCGUGAGGCUUAACCUU